CUCCAAUGUUGUUCUACGAUUUGGAAACACCACAAGUAAUGUAGAUCGCCUAGAUGCGAGGUUACCAACGAGGCCUUUGGCUCUGCAGCGGCUAGACUGCGUGUGAAGAUUUAAAGCCCGUUGCUCCUCUCAUUCGGUCACUAGUUACUCAGAGGAGAUGCAGCCUGUAGGAGCUAUAGUCACCAAGAUGUCGUUUUACGCUUUCCUCACGACGCUGCUGCCUUUACUCAUAAUCCUGGCCACAUUUUCAACCCAGCCGACAGAGGGAGCUGCCUGCAAGUGUUCCGUGUCAUGCGCACAAAGUCUGUGCGCGUCUCGAUGCGCAGCGAACUGCUUUGAUUGCUGCCGGUGCUGUGUUUAUCACGAAACGCUCUACGGAAAGCGUUCGGGGCUCUCUUUCCUCAACGGCUUUCAGGACUCUGAAAUUAUGAGCGAAUACGAACAGCAAGCAGAGAAUAUCCUUGAAAGGGAACUCAAUCCUGAGGGCAACUUCGUUUCAUCGGACUCCUCAAAAUACCCUCUUUUGAAAAGCAGGUCUAUUGCGCGUGCACGCAGAAGUCAACGGAACUAAAAGACCACUUGUGGAAUAUUUCCCCAAUAUAGUCCACACUGCACGAGCAAAGUGAGGCGACAACCUGAGGCAACUUAUCAAACUCUGCUCUUCAAAAAAAAGUAUUCCGGAUGCGUUUCAUUGACUUUGGUAGGCUUUCCGACAGAUCAUACUGAACAAUCUAAACAGAGCUGCAGACAGCUAAUUCAAUCAAAGACAAAUAGUCUGUAAUGAUACCUUCCGAGGCAAAGACUUGGCGGAAACACUGACCAGGCGCUUUGUUCUUCCGAGGCCGUUCGAGUGUCAUUAAAAGAACUGUAAGUUCCCUUAGCGCUUCAGCUUCCAUCAGUUGGUCGUACGUCACCUCCUCAAAAAUUUGUUUGCAGCACUCGUGAGAAUGGCCUAACUGACUUUGCAAGAAGCGUUCAUGUACAUAAACAACACCUCCUUGAUAGUUGAUAGUUUGCAAAUAUGAUGGAAAAAGGCCUGGUACUGACUUUGCCAGAAACGUUCUUUUCCGACAGUAACGAUUUUUAAAUAUUUUCCCUGUAUCAAACUGGCGAAUUCUUAUUCUGUUAUUACUCAGGAAAUUAUUGUCAUCCGGAUUUUAUUUCAAAACUACUGUGCAGUCGUAGGCCUACAGUAUAUGUCAUGUACUAUGUGACGCAUUGGGAAUUUAUAUGGUAAAAUUGUCAAGAAUUAUCUGUAUGGAUUGAAAGGCUCAAAUGAUUAAACAAUGACCAGAGCACUUGUUUCAAUGUUGAGGAAGGCGAUCUCGAGUAGAAGGUUGUCAGUGGAGCUAUUAAGGACAAGGGGAAGCAUUCACCCGAUCUCUUUGAAAGACAUACACACAACCAUACCCAGAGGCAGGUAUUGAUUACUUGUGGUCAGAACUCACCAAUGUAAGUCAGUUUUGGCGUUUUUGAAGCGAGAUAAAAACCUAUUGCAAAUGCAUAAUUGUGGACAGCAGAUGGAGUAACCUUUAAGACAACACUAAUCUAAGAACGAUUUCGUAAAAAUUACGGAUUGCAGGUGAAGUUUAGCCAACUAACUAACGUCACCACAGAAAACAAAUCGUCGCCAAAUCACUUCACAUGUUUUCUUCUUUCUUAAACUGUGUGGCAAUACUGGAUUCUACUACAAUGUACGUGUAUGUCUAUCGGUUGUAUUAAUUCCAUAAUUUUGUCUUUUUUUUAAAGGUAAAUCUCAAGGUGAAAUCACCUAGGUUCCUUUUUAACACCUUUCUCAUCACAUUUAUCCUAAGUAUAUUUAUUGGAGUAAUGUACACCUGCAUCACAGUCUGAAGAUCAAACGAAAAAAUCUGGAAACUUUUGUUCAUUUUCUUAUAAGUGUUCCCAAAUUAACUUGCGAAAGCACUGUAAAAGAAAAAAACGGAUGCAGGAAGGCCGCUUCAGUUUCCAAUAUAGCUUAGAGCAGAAUUUUGAAUAAGCUUUUUGAGAUAAGGUUGAAAAGCUUUCUACGUGGGAUUCAGUGUUACGGCGCCUUGGCGGCAGCUGGUUCCACAAUUUUGAAGCAGUUGCCGCAAAGAAACGACCACCAAGAGUUUGGCACUUGACCCGGGGAACCUCCAGGAACAUCGCAGAUCCAGAUCUAAAGCCUUGGCGAUCGAUCCUUCUUAAUUGAAUCAUGGAUCAGAGAUAUGCUGCAGCCUCCCCAGUCAAAUACUUGAACACCAAGAGCAGGAUCUUGUACUGGAUCCUGAGCUUGACUGGAACCAGUGCAAGUGAACCAGCACAGGGGAAAUGUGGUAAAACUGUCUCACCGAACACACUCUUGCAGUAGAGUUGAAAUCCCGUUGGAUUUGGUUCGAAACCUAGGCAGGGAUACCAUUCAGGACAGCAUUAUAGUAGUAAAGGUGGGAAAUGAUGAAGGCAUGUAUCAAGAAGUAUUAAGGUAGCAGGAAGGGUUGGGCGUUUGUG